rnacentral:rRNA from 1 species
UACGAAGGUGGCAAGCGUUGUUCGGAUUUACUGGGCGUACAGGGAGCGUAGGCGGUUGGGUAAGCCCUCGUGAAAUCUCCGGGCCUAACCCGGAAAGUGCGGAGGGGACUGCUCGGCUAGAGGAUGGGAGAGGAGCGCGGAAUUCCCGGUGUAGCGGUGAAAUGCGUAGAGAUCGGGAGGAAGGCCGGUGGCGAAGGCGGCGCUCUGGAACAUUUCUGACGCUGAGGCUCGAAAGCGUGGGGAGCAAAGCAGGG